AUACGUAGGUGGCAAGCGUUGUCCGGAAUUAUUGGGCGUAAAGCGCAUGUAGGCGGUGCCUUAAGUCUGUCGUGAAACUGCGGGGCCUAACCCCGUAUGGCGAUGGAAACUGUGGCACUUGAGUGCAGGAGAGGAAAGGGGAACUCCCAGUGUAGCGGUGAAAUGCGUAGAUAUUGGGAAGAACACCGGUGGCGAAGGCGCCUUUCUGGACUGUGUCUGACGCUGAGAUGCGAAAGCCAGGGUAGCGAACGGGAUUAGAUACCCCGGUAGUCCUGGCCGUAAACGAUGGGUACUAGGUGUGGGAGGUAUCGACCCCUUCCGUGCCGGAGUUAACGCAAUAAGUACCCCGCCUGGGGAGUACGGCCGCAAGGCUUAAACUCAAAUGAAUUGACGG
rnacentral:rRNA from 1 species